rnacentral:rRNA from 1 species
UACGGAGGGGGCUAGCGUUGUCCGGAAUUAUUGGGCGUAAAGCGCACGUAGGCGGCUUUGUAAGUUAGAGGUGAAAGCCCGGGGCUCAACUCCGGAAUUGCCUUUAAGACUGCAUCGCUAGAAUUGUGGAGAGGUAAGUGGAAUUCCGAGUGUAGAGGUGAAAUUCGUAGAUAUUCGGAAGAACACCAGUGGCGAAGGCGACUUACUGGACACAUAUUGACGCUGAGGUGCGAAAGCGUGGGGAGCAAACAGG